UCCCUGGUAGUAUAUCGGUUAGUACACGCGCCUGUCAAAUACGAGGCUUCUAUCUGAACCGCGCGAAAGCUGGGUUCGACUCCCAGCCAGGGAG